rnacentral:rRNA from 1 species
UACAGAGGGUGCGAGCGUUAAUCGGAAUUACUGGGCGUAAAGCGUGCGUAGACGGUUAUGUAAGUCGGAUGUGAAAGCCCCGGGCUUAACCUGGGAACUGCAUUCGAGACUGCAUAGCUAGGAUGCGGAAGAGGGAAGUGGAAUUUCCGGUGCAGCGGUGAAAUGCGUAGAUAUCGGAAGGAACACCAGUGGCGAAAGCGACUUCCUGGUCCAGCAUCGACGUUCAGGCACGAAAGCGUGGGGAGCAAACAGG